rnacentral:misc_RNA from 1 species
CGCCAAAACGAUUACAGGCCCGUUUCCGUUACCCACUACCACUACUAGUACCACCGCCAUUUAAAACCAUGCAUAGUACAGCCAAACCCCUUCCUCUGCCAAAUCUGUCCACAGCAAAACAAGCAGCAAAAUGAAACCGAACACGCAACUCUUCAAUACGCAAACUAUUAACAAGAGUUUCCAUUAAAAACACAACCAAUGGCUUAUUAGUAUU